rnacentral:rRNA from 1 species
AGAACGAACGCUGGCGGCAUGCCUAAUACAUGCAAGUCGAACGAACUCUUCGGAGUUAGUGGCGCACGGGUGCGUAACGCGUGGGAAUCUGCCCCUUGGUUCGGAAUAACAGUUGGAAACGACUGCUAAUACCGGAUGAUGGCGAAAGUCCAAAGAUUUAUCGCCAAGGGAUGAGCCCGCGUAGGAUUAGCUAGUUGGUGAGGUAAAGGCUCACCAAGGCAACGAUCCUUAGCUGGUCUGAGAGGAUGAUCAGCCACACUGGGACCGAGACACGGCCCAGACUCCUACGGGAGGCGAGCGAGUAGGGAAGUAUUAGGAUAAUAGGGCGAAAGCUGAUCAGCAAUGCCGCGUGAGUGAGUGAAGGUCCGUUAGGUUGUAAAGCUUCUUUUACCGAGAUGAUAAUGA